AGGAGGAAGCAGCCAGGAGAAGCCUGGAAAGUGGAAAAAACUGCUCUAAUGGUAAAAUAUAUAUAACAUAAAAUUUACCAUUUCAAGCACUUUUAAGUGUACAAUUCUGUGGCAUUUUAAGUACAUGCACAUAUGGUGCAAUCAUCACCGCCAUCCAUCUCCAGCAUUUUUUCAUCUUCGCAAAUGAAACUCUGUAUCCAUUAAACAUUCACCCCAUUCCCCAAUCACCCAACUUCUGGCAAUGACCAUUCAACUUUCUGUCUCUAUAAAUUUGACUGCUCUAGGAAUUUCACAGAAGAGGAAUCAAACAAUAUUUGUUCUUUCGUGACUGGUUUAUUUCACUUAACAUAAUGUCUUUAAGAUUCAUCCAUGUUGUAGUGUGUGUCAGAAUCUCCUCCCUUUUUAAGGCAGAAUAACAUGCCAUUUUAUGUGUAUGCCACAUUU